rnacentral:rRNA from 1 species
UACGAAGGGGGCGAGCGUUGUUCGGAUUUACUGGGCGUAAAGGGCGCGUAGGCGGCCCGUUUUGUCAGGCGUGAAAGCCCUGGGCUCAACCUGGGAACUGCGCUUGAUACGGCAGAGCUAGAGGAUGGAAGAGGCUCGCGGAAUUCCCAGUGUAGAGGUGAAAUUCGUAGAUAUUGGGGAAGAACACCGGUGGCGAAGGCGGCGAGCUGGUCCAUUACUGACGCUGAGGCGCGACAGCGUGGGGAGCAAACAGG